UGGGGAAUAUUGCGCAAUGGGGGAAACCCUGACGCAGCGACGCCGUGUGAGGGAAGAAGGCUUUCGGGUCGUAAACCUCUGUCAGGAAGGAAGAACCUCUCAAGGCUGAACAAGCCUUGGGACUGACGGUACUUCCAGAGGAAGCACCGGCUAACUCCGUGCCAGCAGCCGCGGUAAUACGGAGGGUGCAAGCGUUAAUCGGAAUCACUGGGCGUAAAGCGCGCGUAGGCCGUCUUUUAAGCCGGACGUGAAAGCCCUCGGCUCAACCGGGGAACUGCGUUCGAUACUGGGAGACUUGAGUCCUGGAGAGGGUGGCGGAAUUCCGGGUGUAGGAGUGAAAUCCGUAGAUAUCCGGAGGAACACCGGUGGCGAAGGCGGCCGACUGGACCUGACCUGACGCUGAGGCGCGAAGGCGUGGGGAGCGAACG
rnacentral:rRNA from 1 species